AUCGAUUUCCAAUUGUUUUUCAAUAAACUAUGAUGCUCAACAACCCAGAUUAACCGUGAUGAACAAAUUAACCCUCAUAUUUUCCUUUACUCAUUGAGUUGGAUGAAUGCAUGCAACAACCCAAAUCAUUUUCUAAAAGUCCCCUAUAUGAAUGCAUAAUAGAGAUAUAAUCAGAGAUCAUUACGUUCAAUGAAAAUCAUAAGUGUUGACGAGGCAAUUGUAACUAUGAAUGCAUGAUACAAUUGCCAAGAAUUCAAUUAACGUGAUUGUGAUAAACAACCUUCACUACUCAUGAAUAUAAACUUGUAACGAUUAGGUGAAACUCAUUUAUAUUCUAGCAUCUAAUUCAUGCAUGAAAACUAAGUAUGCAUCCUUAAUAAACAUACAAGAAUCAAUUAUGAAUAAAAUAGAUAAUUGAAUUGCAAUCACAACUUAUCAAAUCACA
rnacentral:lncRNA from 1 species